UUGCCCGCGGGUACCCUGACCCGUGGCGAAGGUAGCGCAAAUAAUUUGCCUAUUAAUUGUUUGGCCAGAAAUGAAUGGGUGUGACGCUGGGUGGCGCUGUCUCGUUAGUACUGAUUUGAAUUUGACCUCUGGGUGAAAAGGCCCAGAUAGGCCUGAAAGACGAUUAGACCCUGUCGAACUUUAAGUAAACUAGUUUUAAGGAAAAACGGCUAAGCUUUUGGUUGGGAAAACCGGAGGUAAGAAAAAACACCUCCUCCCUUUGAGACACCCGUUAUUUAUGGGGUAAUAGAGAAUUUACCUUAAGGGCAAUUGGCCUGAUGGAGAGUAAAACAAUAGGGCAAUAAAAGUCUGACAGGACAUAGUUAACUUAUCAAACGAACCUAAAGACCCGCCUGUAAGGCGGGAAACUAUUAAUAAGGAAUAGUUACCGCAGGGAUAACAGCGUAAUCCUCCCGGCGAGACCACAUUAAUGGGGGGG
rnacentral:rRNA from 1 species